GUCUGUCUAUGGCCACUGAAGAUACCUGAUCUUGUUGACCUCAGAAGCUAAGCACAGUGGGGCCUGGUCAAUACUUGGAUGGGAGAAGUGAUAUAUGUCAUUUGGGAGCCAAAACACUGAAAAAGCCU
rnacentral:rRNA from 1 species